rnacentral:rRNA from 1 species
CGUCUUAGUUCGUGGAGUGAUCUGUCUGCUUAAUUGCGUUUCACUAAGGGCCCAUAAAUUCAAGGUAUGUUAGCUAUCGUUUCUCAAUUGACCCCUUGUCUUCGAUAAGCGCGUGUCUUUUAGAGUUUAAACAUUGCGCAUGCUGUUGGGUCCUGAAAGCAACGAACGUGACCGCAACGUCUUAUUGCCUUUAUCUUGCUAUAUUUUAAUUUAAUUAAAAAUAGCUAACAGAGGCUAAUUUAAAAUUAGACGGACCGCUGUACUUUUCUUAAACCAGAGGAAGGUUGCGGCAAUAACAGGUCUGUGAUGCCCUUAGAUGUUCCGGGCUGCACACGUGCUACAAUGAUCAGUACAGUGAGCAUCUCAAUAUUAUACACCGUAUUAAGCGCUUAGUUGCGAUUAUUGGCUCAUUAUUGGGUCUUUUAAUUGUAUUUCUAAUGCGCGCGGUAAAGCCUGCUUCGAGAGUAAGUGGGUAAUCCAUUGGAAGUAAUGAUUUCUCUUUUUAUAGCACACCUAUAUACGGCAUUCAUUCCCGGGACGACUAGUUUCGUCUUUUUUGUGCGAAUGUAAUGUAUUCUUUAUCCGUAUGUGCGAUUGUCAAUUCAUGGUGG